rnacentral:rRNA from 1 species
GGAUGAGCCCGCGGCCUAUCAGCUUGUUGGUGAGGUAGUAGCUCACCAAGGCGACGACGGGUAGCCGGCCUGAGAGGGCGACCGGCCACACUGGGACUGAGACACGGCCCAGACUCCUACGGGAGGCAGCAGUGGGGAAUAUUGCACAAUGGGCGAAAGCCUGAUGCAGCGACGCCGCGUGAGGGAUGACGGCCUUCGGGUUGUAAACCUCUUUCAGCAGGGAAGAAGCGAAAGUGACGGUACCUGCAGAAGAAGCGCCGGCUAACUACGUGCCAGCAGCCGCGGUAAUACGUAGGGCGCGAGCGUUGUCCGGAAUUAUUGGGCGUAAAGAGCUCGUAGGCGGCUUGUCACGUCGGUUGUGAAAGCCCGGGGCUUAACCCCGGGUCUGCAGUCGAUACGGGCAGGCUAGAGUUCGGUAGGGGAGAUCGGAAUUCCUGGUGUAGCGGUGAAAUGCGCAGAUAUCAGGAGGAACACCGGUGGCGAAGGCGGAUCUCUGGGCCGAUACUGACGCUGAGGAGCGAAAGCGUGGGGAGCGAACAGGAUUAGAUACCCUGGUAGUCCACGCCGUAAACGGUGGGCACUAGGUGUGGGCAACAUUCCACGUUGUCCGUGCCGCAGCUAACGCAUUAAGUGCCCCGC